GACGAACGCUGGCGGCGUGCUUAACACAUGCAAGUCGAACGGAAAGGCCCUGCUUUUGUGGGGUGCUCGAGUGGCGAACGGGUGAGUAACACGUGAGUAACCUGCCCUUGAUUUUGGGAUAACUUCAGGAAACUGGGGCUAAUCCCGGAUAGGAGCUCCUGCUGCAUGGUGGGGGUUGGAAAGUCUCGGCGGUUGGGGAUGGACUCGCGGCUUAUGAGCUUGUUGGUGGGGUAGUGGCUUACCAAGGCUUUGACGGGUAGCCGGCCUGGGUGGGUGACUGGCCACAUUGGGACUGAGAUACGGCCCAGACUCCUACGGGAGGCAGCGGUGGGGAAUAUUGCACAAUGGGCGGAAGCCUGAUGCAGCAACGCCGCGUGCGGGAUGACGGCCUUCGGGUUGUAAACCGCUUUCGCCUGUGACGAAGCGUGAGUGACGGUAAUGGGUAAAGAAGCACCGGCUAACUACGUG
rnacentral:rRNA from 1 species